GGCUACAACACGGGACCCGGGC
rnacentral:miRNA from 1 species